rnacentral:rRNA from 1 species
GCAUUGUGGUGCGCUCUCGCAGAGUCGAGUUGUUUGGGAAUGCAGCUCUAAAUGGGUGGUAAAUUCCAUCUAAAGMUAUAUAUUGGCGAGAGACCGAUAGCGAACAMGURCCGYGAGRGAAAGAUGAAAAGAACUUUGGAAAGAGAGUUAAACAGUACGUGAAAUUGCUGAAAGGGAAACGCUCGUAGUCWGUCGCGUUGACCAGGGAUCAGCCYUGCUCUUUUGUGAGGUGUACUUCCUGGCCAACGGGUCAGCAUCAGUUUCGACCACUGGAGAAAGGCUUGAGGAAUGUGGCACCUCCGGGUGUGUUAUAGCCUCUUGUCGUAUACAGUGGUUGGGACUGAGGAACUCAGCACGCCGCAAGGCCGGGUUUCGACCACGUUCGUGCUUAGGAUGCUGGCAWAAUGGCUUUAAGCGACCCGUCUUGAAACACGGACCAAGGAGUCUAACAUGCCUGCGAGUGUUUGGGUGGAAAACCCGAGCGCGCAAUGAAAGUGAAAGUUGRGAUCUCUGUCGUGGAGAGCAYCGACGCCCGGACCAGAAGUUUACGGACGGAUCUGCGGUAGAGCAUGUAUGUUGGGACCCGAAAGAUGGUGAACUAUGCCUGAAUAGGGUGAAGCCAGAGGAAACUCUGGUGGAGGCUCGUAGCGAUUCUGACGUGCAAAUCGAUCGUCGAAUUUGGGUAUAGGGCGAAAGACUAAUCG